rnacentral:rRNA from 1 species
ACUCCUGCGGGAGGCAACAGUGGGGAAUUUUGGACAAUGGGCGAAAGCCUGAUCCAGCAAUGCCGCGUGUGUGAAGAAGGCCUUCGGGUUGUAAAGCACUUUUGUCCGGAAAGAAAUCCUUGGCUCUAAUACAGUCGGGGGAUGACGGUACCGGAAGAAUAAGCACCGGCUAACUACGUGCCAGCAGCCGCGGUAAUACGUAGGGUGCGAGCGUUAAUCGGAAUUACUGGGCGUAAAGCGUGCGCAGGCGGUUUGCUAAGACCGAUGUGAAAUCCCCGGGCUCAACCUGGGAACUGCAUUGGUGACUGGCAGGCUAGAGUAUGGCAGAGGGGGGUAGAAUUCCACGUGUAGCAGUGAAAUGCGUAGAGAUGGGGAGGAAUACCGAUGGCGAAGGCAGCCCCCUGGGCCAAUACUGACGCUCAUGCACGAAAGCGUGGGGAGCAAACAGGAUUAGAAACCCCAGUAGUCCC